rnacentral:rRNA from 1 species
GACGAACGCUGGCGGCGUGCUUAACACAUGCAAGUCGAACGGAAAGGCCCUGCUUUUGUGGGGUGCUCGAGUGGCGAACGGGUGAGUAACACGUGAGUAACCUGCCCUUGACUUUGGGAUAACUUCAGGAAACUGGGGCUAAUACCGGAUAGGAGCUCCUGCUGCAUGGUGGGGGUUGGAAAGUUUCGGCGGUUGGGGAUGGACUCGCGGCUUAUCAGCUUGUUGGUGGGGUAGUGGCUUACCAAGGCUUUGACGGGUAGCCGGCCUGAGAGGGUGACCGGCCACAUUGGGACUGAGAUACGGCCCAGACUCCCACGGGAGGAAGGUGUGGGGAAUAGUGCACAAUGGGCGGAAGGCUAAUGCAGCAACGCCGCGUGCGGGAUGACGGCCUUCGGGUUGUAAACCGCUUUCGCCUGUGACGAAGCGUGAGUGACGGUAAUGGGUAAAGAAGCACCGGCUAACUACGUG